rnacentral:rRNA from 1 species
AUUGAACGCUGGCGGCAGGCCUAACACAUGCAAGUCGAACGAGUGGCGGACGGGUGAGUAAUGUCUGGGAAACUGCUCGAUGGAGGGGGAUAACUCCUGGAAACGGUAGCUAAUCCCGCAUACCAUCCGAUGAGCCCAGAUGGGAUUAGCUAGUAGGUGGGGUAACGGCUCACCUAGGCGACGAUCCCUAGCUGGUCUGAGAGGAUGACCGGCCACACGGGAACUGAGACACGGUCCAGACGCCUACGGGAGGCAGAAGUGGGGAAUAUUGCACAAUGGGCGCAAGCCUGAUGCAGCCAUGCCGCGUGUAUGAAGAAGGCCUUCGGGUUGUAAAGUACUUUCAGCGGGGAGGCGGUACUCGCAGAAGAAGCACCGGCUAACUCCGUGCCAGCCGCCGCGGUAAUUC